rnacentral:rRNA from 1 species
GAUGAACGCUGGCGGCGUGCCUAAUACAUGCGAGUCGAACGCUCAGAAGAGGAGCUUGCUCUUCUGACGUUAGCUGCGGACGGGUGAGUAACACGUGGGUAACCUACCUUUUAGACUGGGAUAACUUCGGGAAACCGUAGCUAAUACCGCAUAACAUUUUGUAACGCAUGGUUCUUAAUUGAAAGACGGUAUUGCUCUCCUAUAAAGAUGACCCCGCUCCGAUUUAGUUAGUUGGUAAGGUAACGGCUUACCAAGGCGACGAUGCGUAGCCGACCUGUGAGGGUGAUCGGCAACACGGGAACGGAGACACGGCCCAGACUCCUACGGGAGGAGGCAGAAGGGAAUCUUGCGCAAGGGGGGAAAGCCGGACGGGGAAAGGCGGCGGAGGGAAGGAAGGUUUCCGAUUGGAAAGACUCGUUGAAAAGGGAGAAAGAGAGGGGUAGGGAACUGUGCACGUCGUGACGGUACCUAAUCAGAAAGCGACGGCUAACUACGUG